UACGGGGGGUGCGAGCGUUGUCCGGAAUCACUGGGCGUAAAGGGCGCGUAGGCGGCUUUAUAAGUCGGGGGUGAAAGCCUGUGGCUCAACCACAGAAUUGCCUUCGAUACUGUAGAGCUUGAGACCGGAAGAGGUAAGUGGAACUGCGAGUGUAGAGGUGAAAUUCGUAGAUAUUCGCAAAAACACCAGUGGCGAAGGCGGCUAACUGGUCCGGUUCUGACGCUGAGGCGCGAAAGCGUGGGGAGCAAACAGG
rnacentral:rRNA from 1 species